AUGUCAAAGACGCCGGGGAAGACGCCGCGGACGCCCAGGCGGAUCCUGGAGUCCUACACCAUCAAGGGAUCCGACGGCGUCAUCCGCCCUGGGGACUCUGUGCUGAUGAAGGCGCCCGACACAUCAAAGCCUCCGUAUGUGGCCAAGAUUGAGGAAAUCGAGGCAGCAGGACCUCGGGGCGCAAAUGUCAAGGUUAAAGUGCGCUGGUACUACCGACCGGAGGAGUCCAUUGGUGGGCGCAGGCCAUUCCAUGGCGAGAAGGAGGUGUUCCUCUCUGACCACCAAGAUGUGCAGAGUGCUGAUACCAUAGAGUGCAAGUGCAACGUCUACAGCUUCCGGGACUACACCAAGCUUUCUGCUGUCAAUCCUGAGGACUAUUUUUGCCGCUUCGAGUACAAAUCAAUCACAGGCAGCUUUGUGCCUGACCGCAUAGCUGUGUUUUGUAAGUGUGAGAUGCCAUACAACCCUGACGAUCUUAUGAUCCAGUGUGAGGAAUGCUCUGAUUGGUUUCACCCUGCUUGUAUUGGAAAGACCAUCAAAGAAGCAAAGAAACUUGAGAAUUUUACAUGUGAAGGUUGUGUUGCUGAAAAUGGAAAUGGAAAUGGAGUCAAGAACGAAAAUUCCCAUGAAUCUACAGGCGAAUCAGAUGAGAAGCAGGUGCAGUCGAAGCGGCGACGGCGGUGA
rnacentral:rRNA from 1 species